UACGAAGGGGGCUAGCGUUGCUCGGAAUCACUGGGCGUAAAGCGCACGUAGGCGGCUUUCUAAGUCAGGGGUGAAAUCCUGGAGCUCAACUCCAGAACUGCCUUUGAUACUGGAGAGCUUGAGUCCGGAAGAGGUGAGUGGAACUCCGAGUGUAGAGGUGAAAUUCGUAUAUAUUCGGAAGAACACCAGUGGCGAAGGCGGCUCACUGGUCCGGUACUGACGCUGAUGUGCGAAAGCGUGGGGAGCAAACAGG
rnacentral:rRNA from 1 species